GACGAACGCUGGCGGCGUGGAUUAGGCAUGCAAGUCGAACGGUAGGAUACCUUCGGGUAUCUGAGAGUGGCGAACGGGUGAGUAACACGUAGGUGAUCUACCCUCAAGAUUGGGACAACCCAGGGAAACUUGGGCUAAUACCGGAUGAAAGCAGCAGUGAUGUUGUUUGAAAGGUGGCGUAAGCUGCCGUUUGGGGAUGAGCCUGCGCUCUAUUAGUUAGUUGGCGGGGUAAAGGCCCACCAAGGCGAUGAUAGAUAGGCGGCCUUAACGGGUGGUCGCCCACACUGGGAUUGAGAUACGGCCCAGACUCCUACGGGAGGCAGCAGUCGAGAAUAGUCUACAAUGGCCGAAAGGCUGAUAGUGCGACGCCGCGUGAACGAAGAAGCCCUUCGGGUGUAAAGUUCUUUUAUAUGUGAGCAGUGCUUUCUAUGUGACAGCGUGGGGAGAGAGAUAUUAGCAUAUGAAUAAGCAACGGCUAACUCCGUGCCAGCAGCCG
rnacentral:rRNA from 1 species